rnacentral:rRNA from 1 species
AGAGUUUGAUCCUGGCUCAGAUUGAACGCUAGCGGGAUGCUUUACACAUGCAAGUCGAACGGCAGCGCGAGAGAGCUCGCUCUCUUGGCGGCGAGUGGCGGACGGGUGAGUAAUAUAUCGGAACGUGCCSAGUAGCGGGGGAUAACUACUCGAAAGAGUGGCUAAUACCGCAUACGCCCUACGGGGGAAAGGGGGGGAUCGCAAGACCUCUCACUAUUGGAGCGGCCGAUAUCGGAUUAGCUAGUUGGUGGGGUAAAGGCUCACCAAAGCAACGAUCCGUAGCUGGUUUGAGAGGACGACCAGCCACACUGGGACUGAGACACGGCCAGACUCCUACGGGAGGCAGCAGUGGGGAAUUUUGGACAAUGGGGGAAACCCUGAUCCAGCCAUCCCGCGUGUAUGAUGAAGGCCUUCGGGUUGUAAAGUACUUUUGGCAGAGAAGAAAAGGUAUCCCCUAAUACGGGAUACUGCUGACGGUAUCCGCAGAAUAAGCACCGGCUAACUACGUGCCAGCAGCCGCGGUAAUAC